rnacentral:rRNA from 1 species
CGUGUAGGCGGCCUUGUAAGUCUGGUGUGAAAGCCCGGGGCUUACCCCCGGAAGUGCACUGGAAACUGCAAGGCUUGAGUACCGGAGAGGAAGGUGGAAUUCCUGGUGUAGCGGUGAAAUGCGUAGAUAUCAGGAGGAACACCGGUGGCGAAGGCGGCCUUCUGGACGGAUACUGACGCUGAGACGCGAAAGCGUGGGGAGCAAACAGGGAUUAGAUACCCUGGUAGUCCACGCUGUAAACGAUGGGCACUAGGUGUUCGGGGUAUUGACCCCCUGAGUGCCGCAGCUAACGCAUUAAGUGCCCCGCCUGGGGACUACGGCCGCAAGGUUAAA